AGAAAUUUUUGUGCUUUUAUUGAAAUUGUUAAGAAAAUAUAAAUUUUUUAGAGAAUUUAAUGAAAAUAAUUAAAAAUAUAUGCGGCCAGCAUCAAGUAUAUGGUUCUCAAGACCGCUAUGAUCUAUACAUGUAGGUGUAAUAUAAUGGAAAUUGUGUGAGCUUGUUCGGACAGCGGAGUUCAAUUGUUAUGGAAAAUGGAAUCAAGCACGUCAAAUUUCCAUGUAUUUAUGAUUAUAACUAGAACUGUUGUAAGACUGAACUAGGUAUCAUCUAGAACUGAAAGAGUCCUGGUCUAAAUCUAAAAUAAAACAGAUCUAGAACUAAACUAGCAUUUAUAAAGAACUGAAUUGGAACUAAUUUAAAACUGUGCUAGAAAUUAACUAGCAAUCAUCUGGAACUAAACUAAACAAAUAAUCUGAAGCAGAGGUAGAUGAUUUGAAACUGGACUAAAACUAAACUAGAGCAAAACUAAAUUUAAACUUAACUAGAUCUAAACAAGAAGUUAACUAGCAAUGGUCUGGAACUGAAAUAGAACUGAACUGGCACAGAAUUACAAUUGAAAUAAACACAACUAGUACAGAAGUAGAAAUAAAAAAAGAACUUAGUAAUGUGCUGACAAUAAAAAAUAGCCCGUCCAAUGUUAAUUUUUUAGUUUCCCUAAAAAUCUAUUUUUAAGAACAGCUUAAAAAAGAUCUUCAAACUUUAUUUAAAAGCAUCAAAUGUUAAAAAUUAUUUAUGGUUUUCUAUAUAAAUAAAGGAGUGUUCCUUCGCAUUUAGAGAAAUAGGCAGUUAUUUCUACAACGUAUACCUACAUAUAAAUAACUUUUAUACGACUUUUGUUGGCAAAUAAUUUGUUUUCCUUAACAAAUUGUAUUAUACAGUCGUUUCGGAAGUUGUAGAAGUAUAAAAUCUUUAACUUACACCUAUUCAAAAUGUUGCUACAAUUAAAUUGGACAAUGGAGAACAAAUUACUAAAAGCUCUUGUAAUUACAAUUGUUUAUUCUUAAGCAAAAAUCUAUAAAAUUUAUGGACAUGUGAACAAAAUCUAUAAAAUUUUCUAGCAAAUCAAAGAAAACCAAAGUACAUGAUCACUAGCGAACCAUUACGAAAGAAGAAAUACGUUAGCCUCUUGUUUUAAAGGACAGUGAAAAGAUUUAAACUAAAAAUAAAAACUAAAUCAGUCUAAACAGAAUUCUAAUUAAAGACAAAUUUAGAACGUCAGUAAAAUAAACAUAUUUUUUCUUUAAAGUAACAAACUUGUAACAUUUUAAAUAAUUUAUAGAAAUUUCCUUAAAUCAAUAUCAAAGUGGGUACUGCCGGGAGCAAAUUUCGCAAUCAAUUGGAAUUAUGCCCGUAACAAUGUUUGGGGCAAAGCUCUCAAGGCAGUUUCAAUUUUAUAAUCAAUACAAUACAAACUUUACCACACAAUUCCUUGAGAGGAAAUACAUUAAUCAAGAUUUGUGACGCUUUCUUGUGCAAGUUGUUGCUUGCACUCAUUUAUAACUACAUACAUUUCAACAGGCCAUAUUUGUUAUUUGCUUUUUUCUUUAUUAUCUAGCAAAUAACCAAUUUUUUCAUAUUUAACUAACACUAAACACUUCUUUUAUUGAUUUUCACUAAAAUUAUUAAAUAAAUUACUUUUUAACUUUAAAAAAAAUAAAAAUUUAUUUACACUUGUCUGCUUCCACGCUACCGAAAAAAAUGCCGUUAUAUUGCAACUACAUGAUUAAGUGUUGUAAAAUGGUUUUUAUUUAAUAUUUGUAAUUUUUGUCUUA